rnacentral:rRNA from 1 species
UAAUUUGAGAGUUUGAUCCUGGCUCAGGACGAACGCUGGCGGCGUGCCUAAUACAUGCAAGUCGAACGAACUCUGGUAUUGAUUGGUGCUUGCAUCAUGAUUUACAUUUGAGUGAGUGGCGAACUGGUGAGUAACACGUGGGAAACCUGCCCAGAAGCGGGGGAUAACACCUGGAAACAGAUGCUAAUACCGCAUAACAACUUGGACCGCAUGGUCCGAGCUUGAAAGAUGGCUUCGGCUAUCACUUUUGGAUGGUCCCGCGGCGUAUUAGCUAGAUGGUGGGGUAACGGCUCACCAUGGCAAUGAUACGUAGCCGACCUGAGAGGGUAAUCGGCCACAUUGGGACUGAGACACGGCCCAAACUCCUACGGGAGGCAGCAGUAGGGAAUCUUCCACAAUGGACGAAAGUCUGAUGGAGCAACGCCGCGUGAGUGAAGAAGGGUUUCGGCUCGUAAAACUCUGUUGUUAAAGAAGAACAUAUCUGAGAGUAACUGUUCAGGUAUUGACGGUAUUUAACCAGAAAGCCACGGCUAACUACGUGCCAGCAGCCGCGGUAAUACGUAGGUGGCAAGCGUUGUCCGGAUUUAUUGGGCGUAAAGCGAGCGCAGGCGGUUUUUUAAGUCUGAUGUGAAAGCCUUCGGCUCAACCGAAGAAGUGCAUCGGAAACUGGGAAACUUGAGUGCAGAAGAGGACAGUGGAACUCCAUGUGUAGCGGUGAAAUGCGUAGAUAUAUGGAAGAACACCAGUGGCGAAGGCGGCUGUCUGGUCUGUAACUGACGCUGAGGCUCGAAAGUAUGGGUAGCAAACAGGAUUAGAUACCCUGGUAGUCCAUACCGUAAACGAUGAAUGCUAAGUGUUGGAGGGUUUCCGCCCUUCAGUGCUGCAGCUAACGCAUUAAGCAUUCCGCCUGGGGAGUACGGCCGCAAGGCUGAAACUCAAAGGAAUUGACGGGGGCCCGCACAAGCGGUGGAGCAUGUGGUUUAAUUCAGAGCUACGCGAAGAACCUUACCAGGUCUUUGACAUACUAUGCAAAUCUAAGAGAUUAGACGUUCCCUUCGGGGACAUGGAUACAGGUGGUGCAUGGUUGUCGUCAGCUCGUGUCGUGAGAUGUUGGGUUAAGUCCCGCAACGAGCGCAACCCUUAUUAUCAGUUGCCAGCAUUAAGUUGGGCACUCUGGUGAGACUGCCGGUGACAAACCGGAGGAAGGUGGGGAUGACGUCAAAUCAUCAUGCCCCUUAUGACCUGGGCUACACACGUGCUACAAUGGAUGGUACAACGAGUUGCGAACUCGCGAGAGUAAGCUAAUCUCUUAAAGCCAUUCUCAGUUCGGAUUGUAGGCUGCAACUCGCCUACAUGAAGUCGGAAUCGCUAGUAAUCGCGGAUCAGCAUGCCGCGGUGAAUACGUUCCCGGGCCUUGUACACACCGCCCGUCACACCAUGAGAGUUUGUAACACCCAAAGUCGGUGGGGUAACCUUUUAGGAACCAGCCGCCUAAGGUGGGACAGAUGAUUAGGGUGAAGUCGUAACAAGGUAGCCGUAGGAGAACCUGCGGCUGGAUCACCUCCUUU